rnacentral:lncRNA from 1 species
AAAGUGUAGUUGAUUUACAGUGUUGUGCCAAUUUCUGCUGUACAGCAAAAGGACCCAGUCAUACUUAUAUAUAAGUUCCUUUUCUUAUAUUAUCUUUCAUGGUGGUCUAUCCCAAAAGACUAGAUAGAGUUCCCUGCACUAUAAAAUAGGACCUCAUUGCUUAUCCACUCUAAAUGUAAUAGUUUGCAUCUACUAACCCCAAACUCUCCGUCCAUCCCACUUCCUCUCCCCUUCCCCCUCCUUCUUGGCAACCACAAGUCUGUUCUCUAUGUCUGUGAGUCUGCUUCUGUUUUGUAGAUCAGUUCUUUUUGUGCCAUAUUUUAGAUCUCACAUAUAAGUGAUAUCAUAUGGUGUCUCUUUCUGACUUACUUCACUUAGUAUGAUAAUCUCUAGUUGCAUCUAUGUUGCUGCAAAUGACAUUAUUUUGUUCUUUUUAUGGAUGAGUAGUAUUCCAUUGUAUAUAUGUACCACACCUUCUUAAUUCAUUCACCUUACAGUGGACAUUCAGGUUGCUUCCAUGUCUUGGGUUUUGUGAAUGGUGCUGUUAUGAACACAUACGUGCCUGUAUCCUUCUGAGUUCAAUUUUGUCUGGAUAUUUGUUCAGGAGUGGGAUUGCUGGAUCAUUUGGUAGUUCUAUAUUUAGUUUUCUGAGGAACCUCCAUACUGUUUUCCAUAGUGGUUGUAUCAAUUUACAUUCCUUCCAACAGCAUUCUUGAUCUGUCUAAAUGAAAAUCUGGAGUUCCCAUUGUGGCUCAGUGGCAGCAAACCCAACUAGUAUCCAUGAGGAUGCAGGUUUGGUCCCUGGCCUUGUUCAGUAGGUUAAGGAUACAGCAUUGCAGUGAGCUGUAAGCUGUGGUGUAGGUCACAGAUGUGGCUUGGAUCUGGCAUUGCCGUGGCUGUGGUAUAAGCUAGCAGCUGCAGCUGUGAUUGAAACACUAGCCUGAGAACUUCCAUAUGCUGUGGACACGGCCCUAAUUAAUUAAUUAAUUAAUUAAAAUGAAAAUCUGAUCAUGUGACUUUCCCUGCCUAAAAUCCUUCACUGGAUUUUCAUUACUCUUGGAAUAACACCAAAAUUCUCUAGUGAGCCUCUUCAGGAUCCUCUGCCUGCUUUUCUAUCUUUCUCAUGCCUCCCUCUCCCACAUUCGACUUUCUUCAGUUCCCUCCAAAGCCCCACCUCCUUCCCCCUGAAGAGCCUUUACUCAGGAUGUUGCUUUUGCUUGAAAUAUUCUUCCCCUCCUUAUGCCUCCUUUGACUUAUUUAGCUAUGACUCAAAUGUUACAUUUUGGGGGAAGCAAGCCUUGCCUGAAUCUUCAGACUUGCUAACAUUUCCCACUCAUGUAUACUCAUACUUUUUCAUAGAGCUUAUACAAUUGUAAUUAAUUAUCUGUUUGUAAACAUAUUUGAUUCAAGUAUAUCUCCUUUAUUGGCCAAAAGUUUCAUGAGCGCAAGAACCAUGUCUAUCUUGCACACCAUUGUACCUCAUGACUUUCGAGGGAACUUAAUAAAGGUUGGUCGAAUGAAUGAAUAGUAUAUGAUUUGUAGGUAAGGGUAAAAGACACCUCCCUCUUUCUUUU